GCUUAGUCACUUUAUGUCUUGGAUAAUUGCUACUUGGAGACCCCAUGGUGGUGUCUCUUACUACAUUUGUCCACAUUUAUAAGACUGUAGUGUGAACUGAGAGCUAAUACAAGCUCCAUAUUUCCAUCUGCUGGCAUUGUUAGUCUAGAAGUAAUUUAAGAUAUCCUAACUGAUAUCCUUAUAUAGAGUUGUAAGCUGCUGCUGCUUCUUUCUUCUUUCUUCUUUUUUAAAAGGAAAAAGAAGAUUUAUUGCUUUGCUAGCAAAGGAGAAACACAGGGGACUCCUGUCCCAAAGGCUGUGUUACUGAGAUGUAAGCUGAUAAUUUGGAUUGAUAAGAUAGAUGCUUUCUAUCAGAGAUGAGAGGGGUUGGGUUUUAGAUGAAUUGCUUUUUUUUUCCUGUAAUAAUGAUUUGUUUUUGUUUGUCUUAUUCCCUUCUCCAGAAAUUGAUAAUUAUCAUUGUGAUAGUAGUUGUGUUGCUGGGCGUUUUAGCAUUGAUUAUUGGACUUUCCGUUGGGCUGUAAUGAGUGGCCUGCGGGGCUGCUGCACUGAAAUGUAAGUAAAGGGGUGGUUCUCAGGGACUCUGAACUGGCUUCCCAUGAGGAAACUGGCCUGGGACUUCACAUUCCUCUUCCUUCCUCUAAUGACUGUCCUUGGGCAUAAUGAAUUUUCUAAAACUUUUGGUAGCCUGUGGAUACUUUCAUCUCCUUAAAAUUCUCUUCUCAGAUCUGGCUGCAUCAGAUGGGUCAGGUCUCCUUUUGUUCCUGUUCUUUAAACUGUCCCUGUCUUCUGUUUUCUCUUGAGUGUCUCCCGGCAUACCUGAGCAUCCCAUUAACACCCAGGUGGAUGUGAGGGAGUCUGUGUCUUGGAUCUGGGGUCUGUCUUCUGAAUUCCUACUGAAUUCCUACACAGCUCUUGGGCUUUGCUUUCUAUAUCCUCGUCACUGUGAAUGAAGCUUUGUAUUGGGGUUUGGAUCCUGUAGUUUUGUUUGUGGCUGACUGGUGUGAUCUUGAAUGAGGUUAUAGCUAACAUUUCCCAAGUACUGAGUUGUAGCAAACAAUAUACUACACAACUUGUCCGUGGAUCAUUGAAUCUGUAGGAUACUCUCAUGGGAUAGGUAGUGCUAAUGUGCACAUUUUAGAGAAAUUGAGUCUUAAAGAGAAGUAAAGUUGAAUAGCACUAAGUUCACACAGCUAAUAGUGGAUCUAGGAGAGUUCUUUAUUCUUUACUACAUUUUACUUUGUCUUUGUAAAAUAAGGUAGCUAUUUAUCAUUGUCUACAAAGUCUAGAGAAUUUUUCAGAGUGACUUUAAAAUCAGUGCUAUUAAUUUUCUUAAAAAUUUGUUUUUAAAAGAUAGGGCUGAUCAUUAAGUAGCAAUUAGCAUGACAGAAUGAUCUAGUUAUGAAGACUCUGUGACUUUUAAGAUUUUUUUUCUGAAUAAAAUGUAGCAUGUGUAGUUUUUUUAAAAGCCUAUAAAGUAUAGAAGAAAUGAAAGUAGCUUUAAUGUUAUUGCUAGUAACCCUGUAGCAUGUUCACACACAUACUCAGUUUUAUACAGUUCAAACUAUAUUAUCUAUUAUUUGUGCCCAGUGACAAAAUCAUAAGGAUCGUCCCCCACACAAAUCUCUUUGUAAAUCUAAUCUUCAACAUGAGAUUGUGGAUAUGCUUUCAAAUAGUUAACACUUUCUCAACAUUGGAGUUUGAUUUUUUUGUUAUAACGCAGUGUGACUAACCUUAUGUAACAUUUCCCCCCUUUUUAUUUCUUCCUCAUUGUAAAUUCACAGAAGUUGAGUUUCUGAGGUAAUAGAGACAAACAUUUUUCAGACUUGAUGCAUACUUCCUUAUUGAGACCCAGAGCUGCCCCUUCGUGUUUUUGUACUUAGUUCCAGUGUGUUUCUUCAUUCCUCUUUUUUCCUUGUGACGAGCAGGUCUGAAAGUCAGAUUAUUAAUCAUAUCACUAAACAUACCUCUUCUUGAGAGAAAAACAGUAGCUAGGUGACCGGCUUCUCAGAGGCACUUAAUUAUUGGUGUUUUUUUUUUUCCUUUUUUCUGACAUGUGCCAUGUAGUCCUUGAUGGCUUCUUGACUGUAAAGAUAUUGAGUUUUGUCCUGAAUCUUAACUAUCUCAUUGGAAAAGAUGUUUUUUUUUUUUUUUUUUAAAAAAAGGUGUGAUAGCUAUCUUCCCAUAUCCUUGGUUGAUAGAUGCCUUCCAAAUUCAUGGUGCCCCUUGCAAAUUCAUGCCCAUUUCCAGGAGUCCUGAUUGUAAAUGAAUCAUUUUUGAGGUGACUCCUCAUGGAUAGGAGACUAAUACAUUGUUUCUAGUUGACUAACCCCUUCUAUAAGAUGCUAAUUUGCUGAAAAGUUGCUCCUCAUGGUUCAUUCCAUAUUCCCUAACAAAGUCAACACUUACAUUACCUAGGUUUGGACACCCUCAUCCUUGCCACCUGAGGGGAUGAGGUCUCUGAAUAGGAGGGAAUGAAGGCAAGCUGGGACUAUGCUCCCUGGACAUACAUCAGCUAUAGCUCUAAGAUACUAUCAAUAUCCCCAAUUUAGAUGGGGAAACUCUUUGAAGCUCAGUGAAGUUAAGAAAUUGGCCAAGCUUACGUAGAUUAUAAGGUGGAGCAGUCAUAAUAUGACAUUAGAACUUUCCCAUAUUCUUUUCAUUUUGCCCUUCUGCUUUCUAAAGGGCAUAGAAAUUUGAGUACCAGAAGGCUCUGGAACCUAGUAUUCAAGAGGGGAGCCAGAGAACUGAUGUUUUUAGCCAGCAGUGAUUGCCCCCACCCAAGUCUUCCCAAUAUUGUGACAGCUUGUCUCUCUCACACAGACUUAUACAAGGCCCACAGAAUUUGCUUUCUGUUGCUCCCUUAGUUGGGAUCUUUGUUCUUUUGCAGUGGAAUAUUUAAUCCCAGGCCCUAUCUGGGUUUGUUGGUUGGCUUUCUUUUUUUGUAUUUUUUAUAUUCUUUUGCAGUUGCUUCUGAUCAUUGUACCUUCCAGGGUUGUGAGUGGUUUCUCCUGUUGCUCCUCCUCCUCAUGUGGUACGCUGAUCAGCUCCUCUCCCCGCCUCUCUUAGAACCUGAUUUCACUCCAGCCUGGUGGGACCACCUUUAUCUUCAGAUGGGAAUGGAGUCUGAAUGGCCUUCCUGAGAGCAAAGGGAACCCGUUCCUUUGUUUCCUUGUAACCAUCCUUGGACCUGACUCAGCAAUCAAUCUAGCCCUGGAGGAAUCUAACCUUCCUGAUGCAACCCCAAGUUCUCCUCAAAACCAACUCCUGCCCCAGCAACUGAAGUACCUUUCCUCCUGGACCAUAUGAACUGACCCAGAUUUUUCCCUUCUGUGGUGUGUCAAAUUAUGCCUUGCACCUUGGAAAUCCCAUGUGAGACUAUCCCAAGGUGCUGCAUCUUCUACCUCAUGGAGUAUACUCCCAGAAAUUACAGUGUAUUUUUCUAGGGUAGUAUCUUUAACAAAGCAGAUGGAUUCUUCUAAAUUUGGCAACAAUAGGGUUUAGAUGGGAGACUUCUGCAUGGCAGGAUGCCAGUCCUGUCGGUCCUGAAAACAUGAGUGACUGGCAGAUGCCAUUUUGGUCCAAAAAGUUGACUUGCUUGAAAUUCAACUUCAAAUUAAGCUUUUAAUAAGAUCAACCUGGGGGCCAAUUUGGUCUUUCUCUAGGUUGUGUUCUCAUGUUUACUCAAAGCGGGACCAAGAUGAUAGUCAUCUGAGGUUGCCAUUUUCAAAGGCUGAGGAUUUGGAAUAUUUGUUUCCCUAUGAAUUUUGGAAACUGGCUUUUCACCUUUGGAGUGACUCUUUGUGAAGCUGUUGCCCUGAGGCCAAAAUUAACCAGGGAUUUAAAAUUGGGCUGGGGACAAGGUGCUAGAGUCUCAGACUCUGAAAAGGUUUCAUGAGGCUGAGUGUUCAGUCACUCAUGUGUUCAGGUGUAUUUUUAAAAGUGUGUAUGUGAGAUGCAUGUACAUAUAUAUGUGUCUGUUUCUCAGGAAAUAGGAAACUAGAAAAGAAAGAUACUAUAACCUCAAAAAUUAAAAAAAAAAAAACUUUUUUGAGCUAGACUAAAAAUUAGAUAAGUUGCUUUUGUCUACCUGCAAAUGAAUCAUUGUAGAAAUAUGAUCAUCUUAUGUCAUCAACAAAGUUGUUUUCUAGAAGAGAACUGGGAGAAUCAAAUGAGAUAUUCAGACUGAGGACUGAGUUGAUUUCUGGUUUCUGUGCAGCAGGUACAGGUGUAAUGGUUUGACACCUCUCCCUAUCUGCUGCCUCCACUAGGCUUUCCCUGAGAACAUCCCACAGCAAUCCACAUGACCUAUGGGAUGUCCUGUCUUAGAUGGAGUUAGUUGGGAGAGACCGGAGACUACCUGCUACUGGGUGAAUGAGCUUGACAGGUUCUUUGUUUUCCCCAGUUCUUGUCACAGAGGAAGCAACAGCCAGGAAAUUUUCGUGUAGUGACUGCUAAGCUGUAGGUAGCCCCUUAGAUCCCUGUCAGUCUCCCUGAUUUUGGGUACUAGCUGUAUUUCAGCUUUGACAGUAAUGCUUUCUAAGGAAGAGAAAGCACCCUGAUCCAGACACUGCCUAUUAGCUUCCUGUGCAAAGGCUCCUCACUUCUCACUACCCAGCACUCAGACAGAGCCACAGGGAUGCCUUUCUCCCCAUGGCUAUGAUGUUAGAAGACAGGCUGUAAUCUCAGGCCUUUACUGUCAUCUGAGACUGAGGCCUGGGGCUUAAAGUUUGGAAUGCAACACAUGAAGGGUUUUUGUAUUUUUUAAAUGUAAAUUUGAUUAUUUUAUUGCUAAUUUAAAAAUAAAUGACUUUCUAAAGAUUGCAAAUCAGUUCUGUCUCUUAUCUCCCUGCAAACACUUGGUGAUCUGGUGCCACCAUGUGGUGGUUUCUGUUCAGGUUUUGGGACUCUGGUGGUUUAGAAAGUUCAAGUUUUUGAAAGUGGCUUCACUCCCAAAGAAUGCAGUGUAACUGCACUUGAGUUUCAGAGUUGAGGUCCUGCCCACAAAAGACUUUGUUCAUUCGUUCAGAGCACCUUGCUAUUUUUCUGUGAACACUCCGGGUUCCAGAAGCCAGAUCCAUCACUCUUCCCUUUUGCUGCUCCUUUUCCCUUUGUACCCUCCUCCAUGUUCAGAGGCACCAGUCUUCCUUUAGUCAGAACUAUCUCCUUCACAGUGAUGUCAUUGCUCAUGUGCUUUUUCUUUCCUUGUCUGGAUGAGCAGAAGAAGAUCAUGAUCAUGAUCUGCUGUGUUAUCCUUGUGAUCAUCUUGGCUUCCACCAUUGGGAGCAUAUUUUCCUGAAAAAGGUGAGCUGUCAUCGGGGAGGAGGGUCAGGUCUGCUUUCACUAAACACUCUUGUGUUCGGGAGCAUUCACUGUUUGUUGCCAGUUUCCCUAAUCUGUGUGUGAUGAGGUGCUAGAAUAGGUAAAGAGUAAACUAAGGAAAAGGAUGUUUCAGAUAAAAAUGAGUGGAGCUGGUAGCAGUCAGUGGGAGAGCAAGGAAGAAAGGAGGCAGAAAUCUGUCCCAUAACUGCACCUGGGAGCAGAAUGCUUUGUACAGGUCAAAUUGUUGAUUCCUGCUGUAAAAAUUGAGCCUUGGUGUCUGGGAAUGGCAGAAUGAGAAAGAAUUAGCUCUUGCAUUAGGUGGACCCUGAACUGGGGUUAGGAUAAGAUAGUAUAACCUUGUGAAUAUUGUCUUACCCCUACUGAAGAGGGAGUUAUUUGAAAAUAAAAUACCAUGCUCUACAAUCUAUGAUUUUCCCCCUCCAUUCUUCUGUUAUUUCCUUCUGCCCUCACAGAUGGAUCUUCGUGGCAUUUCCAAUCCUUCUCCCACCUUUGUGGGGUCAUCACUUCACUGCAGACUCCUCAUCAGCUACACCUCUUUCCAUUAGGCAACUUAUUAUGACACAAAGCAUCAAUCAACUACUUAUUACGUUAUGCAAAGGGAGAAUGUAUGCAAAUAUGGAAAUGGGAGGGGGAAGGAAUGAAGGAACAGAGGGCACAGCAAUAUGUAGUUGGUUAGGCAAAUGGUUUAAAGGAAGGGCCUGCAGGGUACAUCAAUAGGCAUAAUGGGUACCUGCUUAGGAGAUGACGACUGGAGCCCACACCAACAGGAUGGCUGUGGAGAGGCAGUUCCUGUAGCACACCCAGUUCAACAGGGUCUUCUGUGAACUAAGAUCAGCACAUCUGUUACUUCUGCUUUUAAGGCUCUUCUAGGUCUCACCCUUGACCAACUAUAUAUCUUCUUCCUUCUUCAGGGUCCAACAGUAGUCUUCAAAUUGGGAGGUACCAGGCCUUGUCUUGCUCACUGCUCUGUCCCCAGUGCUUAGCACAGUGCCUGCCACUCACAGGUGCUCAAAUAUCUGCUGACUCAGCGAUCUAUUAUUAAGUUGUGAUUCCACUCAUGGAUGAGUGCUUGGGAUUGACUCUUUAAAGGCAUCAAUGGGAACCUUUUAAAAUUUUUUUUACUUAUUUUUUUUAUUGUCAGAAGCUGUGAAAGCUGACAGCCACUGGGCUGAUACACUUAACAGCCCCCCCCACCCCACCCCGUUUUUUUUUUGUGUGUAUGUGUGGGUGGUGAUGGUGGAGUCCUAUUAGUAGCCUCUUUCCGUAAAGAAGAUGGUUGGUUGCAGGAUGGCAGUUCACUAAUAGACCUCCAACAAAAGCAACAUGUUUAUAUCAAGACUGAACCUCCAACAGUCAACAUACCAUGCUCUGUAGUCCACACAAACAGGUGAAGUGUGAGGUAAGAAAGGAGGAGUAAGUGGUCGCUUGCUUUACUUCUUCGUGGUAUGUAUCGCAGGCUGAAACUGUUGGUUGGAAUGCACCAGCACAGAAGUGGUCCAGAGGCUGUGUCCAACUCAAGGUUGUUCUGUUCCCCUUUAAAAACUAUGUAUAUGUGAGUUCCAAUAUGAAUGAUUUACUUAGUGAUUACACUGCAAAAGGAUCACUAAAAAUUCAUAGUACAUGACUUGUUGAGGACCACCCAACUGUGCAGAUGUGCACUUCUGAAAGUCGGUGAUAAAUUCUUAUUUUCUUUUCUGGAGAUGUAAUUUUUUUAAGAAAAUGGGAUAAAAAUGACAUUUUUAUCAGUGUGCUUUCUAUUAAUUUUCAAAAGCAAAUGGUUUAACAUUUCUUGUAAUUUGUGUUUCCUUUAGUUUGAAUAGGGGCUAUAACCGGCUAGCUCUGAAAUAUGGAUUAAUCUUGUUAUAAACAGGGUGCUGGAACCGUGGGAAUUUGAAUCACAUGGGGUCCUCAUUCACCCAGCAGUGGUAAUUUGUGUGCCAGAUGGCAUAUGGCACUGUGCUAAUCCUGCAGAGACACAAAGAGCCUAACACUCCCCUCCUUGAGACCUCCAGACUAGGAGGCACCAUGUAAUUUCAACUUUUAAGUUCCUUUGCUAAAAGCUAUGUUCCUUGUCAUAUUGUCCAACAUCCCCUCUUUCCAGAUUCAAAGAAGAUGGGUAGAUGGCACCAAUAAAUAUCUCUUGAAUCCAUUAACCUAUUAAGUGUCAUUAUUUUCUUUGUUAC
rnacentral:lncRNA from 1 species